rnacentral:rRNA from 1 species
CGUACCUUGACGGUACUUAACCAGAAAGCCACGGCUAACUACGUGCCAGCAGCCGCGGUAAUACGUAGGUGGCGAGCGUUAUCCGGAAUUAUUGGGCGUAAAGCGCGCGCAGGCGGUUUCUUAAGUCUGAUGUGAAAGCCCACGGCUCAACCGUGGAGGGUCAUUGGAAACUGGGAAACUUGAGUGCAGAAGAGGAAAGCGGAAUUCCACGUGUAGCGGUGAAAUGCGUAGAGAUGUGGAGGAACACCAGUGGCGAAGGCGGCUUUCUGGUCUGUAACUGACGCUGAGGCGCGAAAGCGUGGGGAGCAAACAGGAUUAGAUACCCUGGUAGUCCACGCCGUAAACGAUGAGUGCUAAGUGUUAGAGGGUUUCCGCCCUUUAGUGCUGAAGUUAACGCAUUAAGCACUCCGCCUGGGGAGUACGGUCGCAAGACUGAAACUCAAGAAAUUUUAACGGGAGCCCCAAG